rfam:Dethiosulfatibacter aminovorans DSM 17477 genome assembly, contig: EJ55DRAFT_scaffold00005.5
UAGAUAGGCGUAGGCGAUCCUUUAGCUCAAGAAGCAAAUCAUUCAAUUGCAUCAUGCAUGGGUGGUGUUCGUACUGCAGGAGAUCUUGUUUUACGUAUGC